GUGCUCGGGAUCAGGGCAAAACAUGCACUGGGAAUGCUGGAAUCUCAACGGUUAUGAUUCAGAAAAAGAAAGAACGUUGGACGAUAUGAAUUUCCUAAAGGCACAACUAUAAAAUUUGGAAGCCAAACGAAAUUGAGGGUCUUAAUAACGCAAAUUCAUUUCAAAGAUAAAAGAGAAAUCACUGCGCCUAUUGUUAAUGUAACCAUUUACUACACCGAGGGAGU